UACAGAGGGGGCAAGCGUUGUUCGGAAUUACUGGGCGUAAAGGGCGCGUAGGCGGCCUUCUAAGUCGAACGUGAAAUCCCCGGGCUCAACCCGGGAACUGCGUCCGAGACUGGAGGGCUUGAAUCCGGGAGAGGGAUGUGGAAUUCCAGGUGUAGCGGUGAAAUGCGUAGAUAUCUGGAGGAACAUCGGUGGCGAAGGCGGCAUCCUGGACCGGUAUUGACGCUGAGGCGCGAAAGCCAGGGGAGCAAACGGGG
rnacentral:rRNA from 1 species